AAGAGACCUAAGGGCUUUAAGCUAGUGUAAGAUUUCAGAAUGACACAGAGGAAGACUGUUGGUCUCUGCUUAAUUUUAGUUUGACUGACAGUCUAGUACGUCUGUUCAUAUUCUGUCUCUCUUCAUCCCAUCCUUGUGAGAAACAGAGCAACAUCUUAUAAAAAUUAAUAUUUUCACCAAAACUGUGUAUUUGGUUAAGAUAUUCUGCUGCCAUCUGAUAGAAAGUAGGACUCAGUAUAAGUCUUCUAUCACUUGUAUUUUAUCCUUCUUUUUUUAUGGUGAAAGGAGUUAUUGCUAGUAGAAAAAUUUAGAACAAACUACAGUCAAGCUUCAUAGCACUAAGGCACUCCUUGUAUUUUAGUGCUGCUGUCAAUAGGCAGGAAAUCACCGAAGCAUCCAACUGUAACUGUCUCAGGUUAGUAGGUUGCAGUCUGUAGUACAGACUGUGCACUCCUGUGGGUCUGUGGCACAUUGCAAGUGAUAACUCAGAUGCAUGGUAAUCUAUUAUAAAGCAUAUCUCCACACCUGGCUCCGUAUUGCAGUGUUUCAUCUGUCCCCCUUCAUUUCCAUCAGCUGUGCGUUAAGCAUUUCCUGCCCCUGAGCUGUACUUCAGCAGAGAUAAUGUACAGCGUGGAGAAGGCUGAGAGCAAAAUCCAAUGGCAGAAAUAUUUAUCUAGGUCAACCCAGUAGCCAUGGAAAGGUCUGCAACUUCUGACAUGGCCUCUGAAAAGCCGAAUCCUUCCCACAGUACUGGAGCUGUUCAGAUGAGGAUCAAAAAUGCUAACAGUCACCAUGACAGACUAAGCCAAAGCAAAUCUAUGAUUCUGUCUGAGAAUGUGAAAGUCCUUGAGCCUGUAAGUAAAAUACUCCUCAUAUUUCAUGUCUUCCAAGUUUUUAGAAGUCACAAAGUUAUCUUGGGUGUGGUUAAGACACCAGCUUCAUGACAGUCCUUUGCACAAAGGGAUUUAAUGGCACUAUUACAUUCUUAAGUGUAUGGCUGGGCACUGGAAGAACAAUUUUCCUUUGCUGAAACACAGAAUUUGGUGGCCAGAAUAACCACAUUUGAACUCUCAAGUGUUACGGUACUUAAAUACAGCUGCUGUAGGGGGAUAACAUAAUCAGAGAUAUGUCAAUUUCUAAACAGGUGAAAACCAGACGAAAGAAAGAAAGAAAGAAAAAAGAAAAAAAAGGAAAUUAACAGUUCUGUACAUAAAGGAUAACUUUGCCAGUAAGAAGAAUGAGGCUUGCUGUAAGAAUGAAUUAAUUGCAAAAUCAAGCACAGAAGAAACCUUAAUAUUUUAAUAGUCGACAGAGUUGAAAGAGCUGACUCAUUUUUUUAUCUAUUACCUUUUUUUUCCCCUUGAAAUUAGGUAGUUAGCAAUGAACUGUUCCGCCAGUUGUGUCCCCUGCCCCCUGUACUCCUCCUGAGCUGCUAAACAAACUGAUUGGUAUGAGUCUCCCCUGGUUAAUUUCCUUCCAUAAUAGUGGCAAGUUGCAGCUGAGGCCAUAUAAUGUUACAAAAUUAUUUAUGCAGUGCUAGCCACUUUUUGGACUCCAGAUCCAUUUUGUUUUCAGAGAAUGCAAAUGAGGGAGAAAACUCUGCUGGCUGGGGACAGAGUCCCAAGUCUCGGUCAUUUUUCACAACCAUGUAAGCUAUUAAUUUUUGUUUUCUUCAUAUAUUGCAUUCCAAUGAAAUAAUCAGCUUUCUCAAAAAGUUACUAAGUGGAGAAAGUCAAUAAUAGCAGCUGAAUUCUCUACCCUAAAAUUCAAACUUUGUUAGAAAUACGUUUGUUACUCCCGAGUUUCUCUGCUAUACCUGAACCUAUUUCAGGGACAUGUAUUUCUGCAAAGAACAAAAAUCUCUUUAUAUGUAUCAUUUCUGAUCAGUUUGAACAAUUCUUACAAUUUCCCACAACACGUUGCACAUAUUUCUUCCUUUUUAUCCAAAGCAAAAUGUUCCACCAGUACGGACCUGAGAUGAUGUUUAUAGUAAUUUACUGGGAAUACUAUAAUGUAUUAUCGGGAAGAACUGUACCUUUGAAGAAGUUUAAAAGUUAAGUAUAUUUAAUGAUGCCUAACAUAUUUUAUUGGCUGUGUUUAACAAAAGGCACUAGGCUGCAGUUGUUUUUGACAAGCAUGAAAACAUCACAGCAUGAGACUGCAAAAGGAAUUAUGUAGAGAAAUUACAAGUGAUCCAUCUCUCAAUGAAUUAUCCACCUUAAUAGCCUGCAGAACUCAGCUACCAAUUAACACCUACUUUAUUACAUGUUGGGAUGUACUUAAUAACUUUCAUGUGUUUAUGCACUAUUACCUUGACUGAUGCCUCUUGUACAAUUAGGCAUAAUUGGCAUAUCAAUAUGCAAAAGUUAAAAGGAUUAACCCUCUUAAAACUAAUGAGCAUUUCUGUAUCCAGCUGCUAAAUGAGACAAAAUUAGCAUUUUUCACUUUUGGGCAGGAUUUUAUCAUGCAGUUUCUCAUUGUUGAUAUUACCUUGUUACAUAACUUUAGUUUUGGGGAUAGUAUGCAGGACUGUUACAGAGCAAGGGCUCUAAAAAGUUAAAUGAGACAUAAAUAUUUCCCACCGCAUCCCAAAAACCAUUGCAGGUACGAUAUCUGUUCAUUGGCCGAGAGCUGAAAAGUUGCUUUGUGCCACGUUUGUUUAGUAGCUAAUUAUCUAAAAGCACAGUUUUACUAUGUAUAUGUCAUUUUUCCCAGCAAUCUUGGCUCCAGUAUAGUAGAAUGAAUGCUUGCCGUGCUACUAAUUCCCUUCCUAUUUCGAUUCUUUUCAUCUCUUUUUGCCACGCUGAAUUUUCUGACUAGAUAUUGACAGACUGAAAGUGGGCGUAUUUGCUUCCAUAAGCCCCUUAAAGUUGUUUGGUGACACCCCAGCCGAAAGCAACAUUCCUAUGGAUCCCAAUGUUUUCAAAUACUUGCAUAAUACGCCGUUCAAUUUGAGUUAAAAGACCACUGAAAUUUCAAUUGCAUGUGUCAACUGCAUGCCAGCAGAUCUGUGCAUGCGACUUGGGAAGGAUUUAGGGAGAAGCAAUGGGGGGGAGCAGUCCCUGGCAUCCAGGAGUCUGGAAAGAGCAGGGCUCAGCUUAUACGCACAUACAUACACAGGUACAUUCAAAUUCAGUAAUCCUCUUUAAAAAUUCAUGACAUACUUUCUUGGUACACUCACAAACCUCACUUUUACAUUUGGAAGCAUGCAGACCCCUGCUGAAAGAUGUGUAUUACUCGUGUGCCAGGCUAAGCCAAUUAUUUUGUGCUAGAAGGGAAAAAAAAAGGAUCUAUCUUGAUUUUCUGUUUGGAAAUCUUCAAUUUUUUGAAGAGCUUGCCUCUGUUCAGAUCAUUACAAAGUAUCCACUGAUCAUUGCUUAUUUUCAGUUUUACGUCGACUGUGUAUUUUUGUCCUAUCGUCGGGGAGAUUUUUAUUUCUGCACCUAUAAAGAGCUGAAUAAAAGACUCCAUGUUACUCUGUCUCUGCCCAUAUUAGGAAUAUGCCUACUAUAAUUCUAUUAAUAAAUGGGUCAAAUCCUCUUUACCUAACUUAUGCAAAACACACUGACUCCAGUGGAUUAAGGCAAUCAGCAUUUGGCACAUUUUGAACAAUCAGCAGAACUAUAUAUUUAUCAAACACGAUUGAAAGAAAAAUAAAAUUAACACUCUGGGCAUAAAGGGCAAAAAAAAAACCAGACGCAAAUCUAGAAAGAUCGCCGGUGAUUUAUGGAGAAGAAAAUACAUAGUUUUCUCAAAGGGAUUUGUUGUAUUCUACACUGUUGGCUGUGAUGUUCCUAAGCACACCUGGGGCUAUACUUCUGAAGGUGGACAGAUUAUUUUCGGCAGUGUGACAAAGAAGGAUAUGCAUCAUACAUCAGCGGGGCCAUAUGCACUUAUGCGUUUUGUGGUUGUAAAGAUGCAAAUGGGGGAGGCAGGAGCUAACUCAUGCAAAAGUGAAAUGUGGAUUCUUGGGGAUUUUUGUUAUUUAUUUGCUACGGAAAUGCUUGAGCAUUGUGCAAAGGUUGAAAUGGAUAUUAACAUAGAGUUUAAAGAGCAUAAAUCAUGAAGCUGGACACACACUGUGGUAAGCAAGGGCUCUCUCUGUGCUUAAUUUAGUGUCUGAACCAGGAACGUAAAUGAAUAUUUGCUAUUUUCAUCUCUUAAACCCCAGGGAAGUGCAUUUUGCUUCAUUCAGAACAACUUCAAACAAUGAAACGUCUUUUUUUAUUGGUGCCUGUAUUAAGAAUUAGAGCCUAUUUAGACAUUCCAAAAUGGUAAUGUAUUAGAGCUUUUUCUGAUGAGGUUAAACAAACUGGUAAGUUGAUUUCUCCCUCUAAUACGUUAUCAUGGAGUGGGAAGCAAUCUUCCUUUGUUUCUUACUCCUGUGAUUGUAGCACACUUGCCAAAGUUAUGGCUAGCCAAAAAGACAGAAAUAAAAUUGCUAAAAAUAUAAGCCUUCUGUUUAGCAGAGUUUUUGAGCCAUAUUUCACAAUCUCGGGGCUUGUACAUGUUUACUUCAAAUCAAGCUUAUAGUCAAGUUUGAGGCUUUGUUUGUAUAGAUUGUCCUGAAGUAGAUCCUGAUAUUUAAUUAAAAUGACACUAAAUCACAUUGAAUUGAUAAGACUUGGCAUCUCAAACAAAGGUAAUUGCCCGUAUUGGUUUUGUACAAAAAUAGAGCUGCUUGGAAAAUGUGCAGCCAACACAGACUGUCAACUCCAUUUAUAGAUCAAUAUGUGAAAACCAUUGAUCAGGCAGGCAUGUGUAACAGUAACACUUUGCAUUUAUUUGUUGUUUUUAUACCAUGUUAAGGCUUACAGGAUUAUCGGCUUCCAAAAUAUUUUGACUUCCUCAUAAAUAUGUUAUCUGUUUAAUGUUAAUUACAAGACAGGCUCCAGCCCUCUUUUCGGUUUCAUUGCUAUGGGUAGUGUCAGCUGAAAAUGGAUUAUUUCAAUCUCUGAGAGAUCAUCACAGCUUCUUUUAUCAUAUAGUUUAUUUAGGGAAAGUUUCUGAGGAUUUGUUUUUACCCAGUUUAUUCUUUUUCCUGGAGGAAAAAAAAAAAAGCAAAUCUUGACAAAAUAUUUCUAGGAGCAGAAAACCUCCUGCUUUCAUUGCUGGAGUGGAAGGUGACUUAUUAUGUUCUAACAGUGAAUGUCCAGGCCUUAUUCUCCCCAGAUAAUCAUGUACUAGUCCAUAAGCCUAGGUCCAGUGUUAAUUCUGAGACAUAAAUAUUGUCACAAAACACAGAAAUAUCAAUUGGAAAAACAAAUAUAUCUGUUGGGCAGCAUUAUCUUUAUCCUUCCUGGAGCAGGAGAAUGAGAAUGAAACACGCCAUAUGUCCUUUUGCUGUGUUCAGCCUGGUUCUGUACCUUCAGAAUUGAGAUCUGCUGUGUGUCAUCCCCACUUACCCCUCUCAUGUCUCUGUUUCCCCAUCCAUCCUGCUGAUGAUGAACCUGAGUGCACGAGGAUAUUUCAGGGUUCCGUUUACUUCAAUGAGCAAGUUUCCCCAUUGGAGCAAUGGGAUUUGGCUCUCAACCCUUUUUCAGGGUCUUUUUCUUAACCUGCAGGCAUUAUUUCAGCCCCAUAUCAGGACAAGUCUCAGAACAAAGCCUUUUG